GACGUAGGUGGCGAGCGUUAUCCGGAUUUACUGGGCGUAAAGCGCGUGCAGGCGGUUCGGUAAGUCGGGCGUGAAAUCUCCUGGCUCAACUGGGAGAGGCCGUCCGAUACUACCGGACUUGAGGGCAGCAGAGGGAGGUGGAAUUCCGGGUGUAGUGGUGAAAUGCGUAGAUAUCCGGAGGAACACCGGUGGCGAAAGCGGCCUCCUGGACUGCACCUGACGCUCAUACGCGAAAGCUAGGGGAGCGAACGGG
rnacentral:rRNA from 1 species